ensembl:miRNA
GCUCUAUUGUGACGUCACAGUGCUCCAAUGUGAUAUCAGAGUGCUCCAUUGUGCUAUCACAGUACUCCAUUGUGUCAUCAUAAUGAUCGAUUGUGACUUCACAGUG